rnacentral:rRNA from 1 species
GCGGGGAGUGAGCUUGCUCAUCCGCCGGCGACCGGCGCACGGUGAGUAACACGUAUGCAACCUGCCCCUCGGCUGGGGGAGUAAGACCGGAGAAAUACCGGUCUAAUACCGCGUAACAUCCUUGCGGGACAUCCCGUUAGGAGUCAAAGGAAGCGAUUCCGGCCAGGGAUGGGCAUGCGGCGCAUUAGCUAGUCGGCGGGGUAACGGCCCACCGAGGCGACGAUGCGUAGGGGUUCUGAGAGGAAGGUCCCCCACACUGGUACUGAGACACGGACCAGACUCCCACGGGAGGCAGCAGUGAGGAAUAUUGGUCAAUGGGCGCGAGCCUGAACCAGCCAAGUCGCGUGAGGGAAGACGGUCCUAUGGAUUGUAAACCUCUUUUGCCGGGGAGCAAGCUGUGUCACGUGUGACACAGCUGAGAGUACCCGGAGAAAAAGCAUCGGCUAACUCCGCG